CGAAAAAUCCAGCACCUCAGGAGUGAACCAAGUGCGAUUUUUUGUUCGUUGACGUGCUUUCACCUGGAUGCGUUCUCUCGAUUUCUUGAGCGCUGCCUGUGCACUGCAGUUGAUGCAACAGGUAGGUAAUUCCGCGUUGCGAGACGUGCGUGCGUCUUCGUUGUCGCUCUGAACCUCCUCUUUUUCACGCUGUUUCUCAGAGAACAGGCUUCAACUCCAUGAUCGGCGCAACGUUCCAGUCUACCGGAAUCUCCACACGCGAGCAUUUUAGAAGUUUUUUUGAGUUAUUUGCCAGCAUUUGAGGAUGAGGGGCUGCUCGUCGAGCACAGACUCCAUGAGGAAGGUCGGCUUUCGCGGGUCUCUUCCCUUCAUUCGCUCGGGAGUUCGAAAGUCCAUUGGAAAAACCUAGACGUCAUUGUGUGGCACUGAGGCCUUUGUACAACGCUGGUUUCGCAUGGUUUUUCGCUAACGCCGUUCUAAAAGUAGCGUGGAAAAAACGCGACGGCUAGAUCGCACCUGCGGUAGGAACGCACGUCUGGGAACGCAUUUCAGUUUCGCGGCGCAGGGGUGCACAUUGCCUUGCCGUGCACAGUUGAGUCACGUAGCUGCGGAGUGGAAUUGCACGACUUGGUGACUUCAAGUGUGUAUGCGUAGAAACUGGGGCUUUCGAUGGUACCUGCGAUACGGAGCACUCGUCCCAGUCUCGAAAAGGAGUGCUUCUCAAAAAGAAAGGUUCAGAAGGCAGAAACACUGCGAGAAACAACACGCGAAAGCGGUAGUGUGUAGAC
rnacentral:lncRNA from 1 species